rnacentral:lncRNA from 1 species
CGCCAUGAGCGCAUGAUACGCCCGACGUCUUAUGUGGAAGUCUUAUGCAAUAAUCAUAAAUAGUUUAUGAGAAAGUUUUAAGCAAUAACCAUAUAUUGUUUUAGAGACACGGCGGGACAUGUGAAACCCCAACCCUGUUUUAUUUUUUUACAAAAACUAAAUAUUACCAAAAUAAAAUUUUGAAUCAAAACCAAAAAGUAUACAGAUCUUUAGAUUAAUAUAUCAAAGAAGUGUGUAAAGUUUUAAGCAAUACUCAUAACUUAUUUU